UACAGAGGUCCCGAGCGUUGUUCGGAUUCAUUGGGCGUAAAGGGUGCGUAGGCGGCGCCGUAAGUCGGAUGUGAAAUCUUGGGGCUCAACCCCGAAACUGCAUUCGAUACUGCGGUGCUAGAGGACUCUAGAGGAAACUGGAAUUCACGGUGUAGCAGUGAAAUGCGUAGAUAUCGUGAGGAAGACCAGUGGCGAAGGCGGGUUUCUGGAGAGUUCCUGACGCUGAGGCACGAAGGCCAGGGGAGCAAACGGG
rnacentral:rRNA from 1 species